AGUCCUAUAGCUCAGUGGUUAGAGCACUUGUCUUACGAGCAAGAGGACCUGGGUUCGAUUCCUGGGCAGGGCGA